rnacentral:rRNA from 1 species
GACGUAGGGCGCGAGCGUUGUCCGGAUUUAUUGGGCGUAAAGAGCUCGUAGGCGGCUCAUUGCGUCAACCGUGAAAACCUGCCGCUCAACGGUAGGCUUGCGGUUGAUACGGGUGGGCUGGAGUUCGGUAGGGGAGACUGGAAUUCCUGGUGUAGCGGUGAAAUGCGCAGAUAUCAGGAGGAACACCGGUGGCGAAGGCGGGUCUCUGGGCCGAUACUGACGCUGAGACACGAAAGCGUGGGGAGCAAACAGG